CAGCUCUACCUCCUGCCAGGCCGGGACAGCGUGAGAACAGCAGUGCACAGCUGCAGACAAGUGUGGGGAGGAGGUGAGGGUGUCUGAGGACAAGGGAGCAUCCUGGAGUAGGGCAGACUCUGGAGCCAUCAAGGUAAUUUCGGGCCUCCCCAGGGUGAAGAGAGAAGAAAGAGGACCUUCACCAGAGUCAGCAAGAGCUCCACCUCCACUCCCCUCAACUCAUGGUCGAGACAAAUGAUUGAGUGAGGGCAUGGGAGAAAUAUUCACCCAAGCCAUGCACCAGCGGUGAGGCACCAUAGAGAGAACCUGAGAUCAGAAAUGUGCCAAGAUUGCUUGGGAAACAGCCAACAAGUGUCCUGGCCAGCAGGGGCAAGGCAGAGUCGGGGGAGACUCCCUGUCAAAUGCAAGAUGUCCAGGUACACGCAAAGGCCUCAACCACCUGGAGAACACCUGCUGCAACAGGUAACACCCCCGUGUCCAGGCCCAAGGCCUUGUCCACUGCACACCCACUACCCAGCCCUGUUUUCACUACCAUGAUGGACAGCUGUUGGAGUUAACUCUCCAGCUAUCCACGAACUCUGAUCCAUCCUGCU
rnacentral:lncRNA from 1 species